GAACUGAAGAGUUUGAUCAUGGCUCAGAUUGAACGCUGGCGGCAGGCCUAACACAUGCAAGUCGAGCGGAUGAAGGGAGCUUGCUCCUGGAUUCAGCGGCGGACGGGUGAGUAAUGCCUAGGAAUCUGCCUGGUAGUGGGGGAUAACGUCCGGAAACGGGCGCUAAUACCGCAUACGUCCUGAGGGAGAAAGUGGGGGAUCUUCGGACCUCACGCUAUCAGAUGAGCCUAGGUCGGAUUAGCUAGUUGGUKGGGUAAAGGCCUACCAAGGCGACGAUCCGUAACUGGUCUGAGAGGAUGAUCAGUCACACUGGAACUGAGACACGGUCCAGACUCCUACGGGAGGCAGCAGUGGGGAAUAUUGGACAAUGGGCGAAAGCCUGAUCCAGCCAUGCCGCGUGUGUGAAGAAGGUCUUCGGAUUGUAAAGCACUUUAAGUUGGGAGGAAGGGCAGUAAGUUAAUACCUUGCUGUUUUGACGUUACCAAC
rnacentral:rRNA from 1 species